rnacentral:rRNA from 1 species
CACGUAGGGUCCGAGCGUUGUCCGGAAUUACUGGGCGUAAAGCGUGCGCAGGCGGUUGGGGCAGUCGCUGGUGAAAGCCCCACGCUCAACGUGGGAAUGGCCAACGAGACGGCCCGACUGGAGGCAGGGAGAGGCCGGUGGAAUUCCGGGUGUAGUGGUGAAAUGCGUAGAGAUCCGGAGGAACACCAGAGGCGAAGGCGGCUCACUGGCCCGAUACUGACGCUGAGGUGCGAAAGCGUGGGGAGCAAACAGG